rnacentral:lncRNA from 1 species
AAGAUAAUAGUCAAUUAAUUUUUAUCUAAUUAAUUAUAAUUCGAUAAAAAAUUUAGGAUAAUGUCGAACGUUAUGAAAGUACCCGAUAAAGAUAUGACGAUUCGUUCUUACGCCGUCUAAAAAAAGGUGAAGAACACUUAUAUCCAGGUUGCACUGAGUUUUCCAAACACUUAUAUCAACAAUGUAAUAUCAUGUUGAUUAUAAAAAUUUCUUUUUUUCAGUCAAACAUGAGUCAACUACUUGCAAUCGUCGCACGACUAGAGCGACUUAAACAGAUUCAACGUAGUUUUCACAAAAACAUAGAUUAUUAUUGUCGUGUUUUUGCUUGUUUCCGUUGCGGAGUCAACGGUCAUCAUUUUCAGAACUGUCAAAAAUUAUGGUCGACAAAUCCUCAAACAAUGGAAACCGGUCAGAUUUUAGUGUUAGGAUACGAGGCUAGAGUGUUGAAUGAUUGUGGUGG